CUCCAGCCCGGCUGUGCUCUCGGCGACUUGCAGUCUCCAGAGCAGCGCGGGCUCGGUGACCCAGGCCGGGCCGCCAGCAGAACUGGGAUCCGAUCCUGCGGCCGGGAGAGGCGGGGCUGGGCCUCCAUGGAGGUUCCCGGAGCUGGACCUUCCUGGCACCUUUUGAGAGAGUGAGACGUCUGCUUCCCAGGCAUGGCGUUAAAAUCCUUCUGCUUGGAUUUUUAAGCUUCAUCCUGGCCAACCUGUAAAGACAAGCCCACUUUUCACAGCGCCAAGUCCCCAGAGUUUCAGAGCUGCUGCUUUAACUCUGACAGCCCAGAGUGGCCCUGCAGCCCUCUCCUUCUGGCUCAGAGGUGACUCUCCAGCUGCGGCCCCUGCAGCCUCUUCCUGCCUGUUGAACACAUCCUGCAGGAUUCCCUGCGUUUUGCUGACUGUGGCUGUCACUUGCACCUGUCCAGGCCCAGCAGGAGACAACUCUGAGUGUCGAUGUGGUCUCGGGGUGCUGGGCUGUGUGAAUGCUUGGUUAAUCAUGCAUUAGAGAAACCCAGAUCCAACGGCAGGGCCAGCAGCGUCGUCAUUUCCAAUACUGAUGACAUUAAACCAGACUUCAGAGUGUGCGCCACAGCCCCAGGAGGAUAAGGAACUGGGUGACAAGGUCCAAAGUCAUGAGGGCUACACGGCAGCCACCCAAGGGUGGGAUGUUCACGUCACAGCUCACCUGCCAGGCUGAGACCAGCUGCCAAGGCUGUAGGCAGCUGGAUAGGCUGUGCUCAUGUGUGCAUGCAUGUGUGUGACUGUCCCACACCACGGGAGGGUGUGUUGAAGACCCUUUAGCACAGCCUGAGCAUACCCUCCUCUGGCACCUGCCCAUGCCACUCCAUCCCCACUGUCACCUGUCAACCUGGCAGGGAGGCCGAACUCUGUCCCAAUUCCCUAACUAGAAAGAGCCCUUUCUGCCCCCUAGCCUGAUCGUACAGGCCUGGGGCACCUCUCUGUCCCCCAGCUUCCUCUGGGACUCUGUGGGGACCAGUGGGUCUCUGUCCUCAGAGGCCUUGAGAUGCAUGCAGAGGGGCUAUGCUGGAACCGGGGCCUCCUGUCCCCUAGAUGGACUCUGCUGUGUCCACUUUCGGCCUCAAAUCAGGCCAGGGACGAUCAUUGCAUUCCACACCCCGACCUGUGGGUGCCACUGCUCUAGAUGUUACCCUGAAACAUGGUUAGAGAAGUCGGUGGUUGAAUCAAUAGAUUUUGGCAUUUGCAGGAAAAUGGGUGGAACUGACUGAGAUGAUCCCUGCAAGCAAAACAAGCUGGUGAGGAAUCUUUUUUAAAAAUGAGAGGUUAGAGAAAAUAGAAAGCAGAUGAUUAGAGAUGAGGAAGGGGCUGGGGUAGAGGAGACAGAAGGGUUAAGAGGAGUUGAAAAUGAUCAGAGUGUGUGGUGCGUAGGUGCCAGCACCCCUAAAUGAACUCCAGCCUUGUGCAUUCUUAUACUCACUGAUCAAAUUAAAGAAGCGAACAGAGCAGCAGACUUAAACAGAGUGAUGGGCUCCACAGAGCUGAGCGGGACUGGGCUGCUAGGCGGGGUCAGCCCUAAACACCGGGGAUCACUGCACAGGCCGGAGUGGAGCAGGUGGCUACGGGCUCCAACGCUGCACCGCUGGCUGCUUAGGGGAUCAAUGGGGGCGGGACAGGAGGGAAGCCCAGAAGAAAGAGCCUCAAACGCCAGUCCUCCCCGGGGCUGCUGUCCAAUGCAAGUGCUCUCGGUCCCCAAGAACAGCUUAUCCACCAAAUGGAACUGUCACAUUGGAACCUCUGGAGGCCUAGGAAUGUAUGGGUCAUCAAAAUAAUGCAAAUAAAUUUGGUUUUGGAAAUGGAGAGGAGGGAAGAAUCCAACGUGAGCUGGUGAGUGUCCAUAAUGAGUGAAACAUGACCUAGCUUCCUGCGACCCUCCUAUCUUAUUCCCUAGGAAGUCUGAGGGCAACAUUUGGCCUAAAAGAAAAUGGAGUGCUAAAGUAAAUCUUCAACUGGGAGGACUUCCAGUUUUUCUGUUAUAUUACCCAACUAGCUUUAAAAUAGUGUUCCAGUGCCUGAAACUUGGAAAUUCUUAUAUUUUUCUCUUUAUGAUGAUCAAGGACUUAAAAAGGACCUGAUCCAACUUUAACUUUCCUUUUAGAGUCUAUGCCAUAAAUUAGUGAUUAAUAACAAAUAACAUUUUUAAUAUUUAAUGUGUACCGGGAACCAUGAGGUGCUUUGUGUAUGUUAUCUUAUGUUAAUAAGAUCACUUCGUGUAUCAUUAUGGCAAUAAUGGGUAUCAUUUCUUGACAGUUUACCUCUAACCACAAUCUCCUGGGGACACGAUGACUCCCCAGGCUCAGAAAACUGUGCCCCAAGCCAAAAAAAAAAAAAUGUAGGAAAUGGAUUAGCCAAAGCGAAAUGCAGGUCUCUAAUUUCAAAUUUUGCUCUUUCCACAAUACAUUAGGCUAUCAAUUAGCGUUCCUCCUGGACUAAAACUUUUAAUUUCCCAUUUCUUUUGAACAUAUUACUCAGAGACUAUUUGCAAAUCUCUUGCUUGUCUUUUCCUAUCCUUCUUGACUUCUUAUUGAGCAUAAAUGUUUUAAAUGUUUGAGGAACCCGAUUUAGUGUGUGUGUGUGUUUAUGGACUGUAAAUUUGGGUUCAUGUCUAAGAAAUCUUUGCCUAACUCAAAAUCUCAAAGAUUUUAAGUUUUCUUCUAAGACUUUUGUGCUAUUAGCUUUACAGUUAAGUCUAUGGUACAUUUGGUGUUAAUUUUGUCACUCACUGAUGGAAGUAUAUACAAGUUCACCUACGGAGACAGUUCAGCAGUGUCGUGUAAUUUUCAGUAUAUAAUGCUUGUGCUUCUUCAGAUAAAUUUACUCCUAAGCA